GAUGAACGCUGGCGGCGUGCCUAAUACAUGCAAGUAGAACGCUGAAGGAGGAGCUUGCUCUUCUGGAUGAGUUGCGAACGGGUGAGUAACGCGUAGGUAACCUGCCUGGUAGCGGGGGAUAACUAUUGGAAACGAUAGCUAAUACCGCAUGACAACAGUUAUUGCAUGAUAACUGUUUAAAAGGGGCAACUGCUCCACUACCAGAUGGACCUGCGUUGUAUUAGCUAGUUGGUGAGGUAACGGCUCACCAAGGCGACGAUACAUAGCCGACCUGAGAGGGUGAUCGGCCACACUGGGACUGGGACACGGCCCAGACUCCUACGGGAGGCAGCAGUAGGGAAUCUUCGGCAAUGGCCGGAAGUCUGACCGAGCAACGCCGCGUGAGUGAAGAAGGUUUUCGGAUCGUAAAGCUCUGUUGUAAGAGAAGAACGAGUGUGAGCGUGGAAAGUUCACACUGUGACGGUAUCUUACCAGAAAGGGACGGCUAACUACGUG
rnacentral:rRNA from 1 species